rnacentral:pre_miRNA from 21 species
UGUGGGAGCGAGAUUAAGGCUUGCUGGUUAUCACGUUAAACGUAGUCAGUCUUUUUCUCUCUCCUAUC